rnacentral:rRNA from 1 species
AGGAAGGCACCCCGGCUAAACCUCCGUGACCAGCCAGUCGGCGGUAAAUAACGGAGGGGUGCAAAGGCUUUAAUUCGGAAAUUACUGGGCGUAAAAGCCGCGCGUAAGGGUGGCUUAAAGUCACCCCAGGUUGUGAAAAGCCCCCGGGGCUUCAACCUUGGGAAACGGCAUCCUGGAAACUGCUUUGGCUAGAAGUGCAGGAAGAGGAAAGGUUAGAAUUUCCCGGUGUAGCCGGUGAAAUGCGUAGAGAUNCGGGAGGAAUACCAGUGGCGAAAGGCGGCCUUCUGGACUGACACUGACACUGAGGUGCGAAAGCGUGGGUAGCAAACAGGAUUAGAUACCCUGGUAGUCCACGCCGUAAACGAUGUCAACUAGCCGUUGGGUCCUUGAGGACUUAGUGGCGCAGCUAACGCAAUAAGUUGACCGCCUGGGGAGUACGGCCGCAAGGUUAAAACUCAAAUGAAUUGACGGGGGCCCGCACAAGCGGUGGAGCAUGUGGUUUAAUUCGAUGCAACGCGAAGAACCUUACCUACCCUUGACAUCCAGAGGACUUUCCAGAGAUGGAUUGGUGCCUUCGGGAACUCUGAGACAGGUGCUGCAUGGCUGUCGUCAGCUCGUGUUGUGAAAUGUUGGGUUAAGUCCCGUAACGAGCGCAACCCCUAUCCUUAUUUGCCAGCGAGUAAUGUCGGGAACUCUAAGGAGACUGCCGGUGACAAACCGGAGGAAGGUGGGGACGACGUCAAGUCAUCAUGGCCCUUACGGGUAGGGCUACACACGUGCUACAAUGGCAAGUACAAAGGGUUGCAAUACGGCGACGUGGAGCCAAUCCCAUAAAGCUUGCCUCAGUCCGGAUUGGAGUCUGCAACUCGACUCCAUGAAGUCGGAAUCGCUAGUAAUCGUGGAUCAGAAUGCCACGGUGAAUACGUUCCCGGGCCUUGUACACACCGCCC